GAUGCACGCUGGCGGCGUGCCUAAUACCUGCAAGUCGAGCGAAGCGGGGACGGGUGAGUAACACGUGGAUAACCUCCUAUAAGACUGGGAUAACUUAGGGAAACCGGAGAUAACCAGGAAACUUAUAGAUGGAUCCGCGCUGCAUUAGCUAGUUGGGAAGGGAAAGGCUUACAAAGGCAACGAUGCAUAGCCGACCUGAGAGGGGUAUCGGCCACACUGUAACGGAGACACGGUGCAGACUCCGACGGGAGGCAGCAGUAGGGAAUCUUCCGCAAUGGGGUAAAGCCUGACUGAGCAACGCCGCGUGAGUGAUGAAGGUCUGCGGAUCGUAAAACUCUGUUAUUAGGGAAGCGGUACCGAAUCAGAAAGCCACGGCUAACUACGUGCCAGCAGCCGCGGUAAUUC
rnacentral:rRNA from 1 species